AUGGUCAUAUCACGUUGAAACACCUAUUCUCGUACGUUCACCGAAGUUAAACAACGUCAAACAUGGUCAGUACUUACAUGGGUGACCGCUUGGAAAUACCAGGUGCUGUAUG